UCUUGUGCAAUAAGGAAUUAGUGCCAACUACUAUGUGGAAUUCGUAGGGGCCAUCGUUUCAUCUGAACAUUAGAAUCCAUACCGGGGUUGGGCCUGCCUCCACACUUUCUCCACACAGUUGAAGAAUGGGGAAAUUGUAUCUGUUGGAAUUCACCGCAAAACAGGUGGAAAUCUCACCUGGGGGGACAAGUGGCCACUGAAAAGGAUAUACAGGACACAACUCAAGGCCAUGCAUGAAAUCCCUGUUCCAUUCUACUGAGGACACAGGAUGAGAAGCAGCUAGUGACUUCAGUUUGGACAGUCCAGGAGGCAUGUUGCUGGGGCGCCAAGCACCUGCAGACACUGAAACCAGGGAAACCAGCAAAGUGCCGGAGCCUCCAGUCUCAAAGCAGCACCUCUCAGGAUUGCCACGUGGGCCCAGCUCUUCAUCUUUGUAUUUUGCUGUUGGGCUCCUCGGGGAAACAUCUUGCUUCAGUCCAAGCAAGCAACUGACUUUUCCUCCUAAUAGAUCUUUUUUGAUGAGGACAGUUAAAUAUCAGCAUUAUCCAUCCCAGGGCUUCCCAGCUAGAGCCCCUCAUGAAGGAAAUGAAUGAAUAAAGAAGGAAUAACUGCAAUCUUUGCAUCUCACAGAAAUGCCUGACUGUCACAGAGGCUGCAUCUAAAUCCUGAACCAUUUCCUUGAGUGCUACAGCGUCAAGAGAAGAAAAGCCCACUCAUUGUUUUCCAUGAGAGUAAACUGGACAAAGAAAAUAACAGAGUUGACCA